CAUAUUGCGCGGAUGUUAGCAUGCUACCACUAUAACCAAAUAUGGAUAUAAAUGAACUACCAUGGAAAACUACUUAAUUGCUACCAGAGGAAUGUCACCUUUUCCUUAAUGUGCGAGACUCAUCCCUGUUUGGCGUCACAAGGUGCCCCCCAAGUGCUUUGCGUGGGUGCAAGGCUAUUCAGUCCACACACACCGGUGUAUGUCUGGCAAUUGCUCUACUGGUGGACGCCGCUGUGACAGUGCACUGCCCUCGGAGGUCUCUGGAUAUCCAGUGUAAAUCCAACCCAGUGGAGCUGUGAAAAAAGCUAAUAAUAUGUUAUUGCAGUCUGGGUCCCCCUGUCGCCUCUCCAUCAGAGCACCACUGUCACCUUACACAUGGACCGCAGUGUGAUAAUGGACAAUAAUGCGGAGUAGCUGAGAGUGAGAAGUCCAAUCUGCCUCCUGAGUGGUAAAAGGGUUGGAGGAAAGCACACCCCAUAUGCUGUGUGAGAGCUACUGGCUCCGAGGCCGUGUGUGUCAUCCUAUCAGGAACCUCUGGGCAUCCUUUCCUGUGGUGGAAUGUUUCCCUGCACAGAAAUGUGAAAACACAAGCAGCAGCAGAACAGUGGAAAACAAGAUGGUCCAACUUUCAGCUGGACUGAGGCCUCUAGUGGCAAGUGAAGGUGUUUUAGUGCCAGAUGAUGGUUUGCGGGGGGCAGUCCUACUUUUACUGGAGGUAGAUGGUCUUUGGUCCUUCUUGUCCCAAGCCCGGCGCUGCUUUGCACACAGCUGUGUGGAGGAUUUCACACCAGCAGGAGACUGCAGGGAUAAGAUUCGUAUUCAUCUUACAUAACAGAAUUAACUAUCACAGUCAUUUAAAAACAGCUGCAUAGCAACACCUUUAUUAGCAUCUUCUGUAACAGGAAAAUCUGGCACCAUCUAGUGGUGACUGACUAUGAAAGGCAGUACACAUGGCAAUAUGAAAACACAAAGGCAGCUUAACAACAAAGGUUGUGUUUAAUACAGCAGUAGAAAUAUAAAGCCUUAAAAUGUUUAGAAAGUUCUUUAAAAUUUAAUACAAAAGGAUCUGUCAAGUGCCAAUGGACAUAUCAUUAAAUUCUAUAAAUUGAAAUUGAACUGAAAAGGCCAAGGUGCAGAAGGUUCAACAAACCUGUAUGGUGGUGGUGGUGGACAGCGACGGGGUUUCAGAUCCAUUUUUGUGCUUGUCCUGCUCGAGGCUGUCAUCACCCUGUUUAGUCUUUAGUUCCAGAUACAGGGAUAAGAUAAGACAGAUGAGAGAUCAAUACCUGAUUCCAUGACCAUAAUAGAUAUGGCCUGACCUCUAGACUGGUAGUCCACUUUGGUGGAAAACUGUGUUUUGUUUUGCUUUGCAUUGUUCUGUUGGUAACUCUUAAGCAAUUUGAGAUUCACAGUCCUAACUACCACUAUGAUAUUAACAAAUCAAGAAGUGAUAAAUAGAAUAAAUUAAGAAGAUAGCACGAGCAAAACAUUUGUAUAUUUAUAACAAUAUGUGCAGUUUUAUGAGGUCUUUAAAAAUGAUGUGGAUGCUAUGGUUAUUAUUGUUUAUUCAGGAUCACUAAUGUUGCUUACCUAUGUCAGUUAAUGGGACAACUUAAUGGGACAGUCUUAGUUAAAAACAAAAUAAUUACCAUAUGACGCAAGUAAUAUGUAAGCAGUUAAGUAAAAAUGCUUAAAUUAAUAAAGAGAGGCUUGCCGUCUUUUAAAUCAU